rnacentral:rRNA from 1 species
UACGUAGGUGGCAAGCGUUAUCCGGAUUUAUUGGGUGUAAAGGGCGUGUAGGCGGGAGCGCAAGUCAGAUGUGAAAACUCAGGGCUCAACCCUGAGCCUGCAUUUGAAACUGUGUUUCUUGAGUGCUGGAGAGGCAGUCGGAAUUCCGUGUGUAGCGGUGAAAUGCGUAGAUAUACGGAGGAACACCAGUGGCGAAGGCGGAUUGCUGGACAGUAACUGACGCUGAGGCGCGAAAGCGUGGGGAGCAAACAGG